rnacentral:tRNA from 1 species
GCCUCCUUAGCUCAGUGGCAGAGCGUUGGUCUCGUAAACCAAAGACCGAGAGUUCAAUCCUCUUAGGAGGCA